GCCUUGAGAGCUUCGUCAGUCGCCGCCCCCAGGGGGGCAGAGGUCCCCUGGAGAGAGAGGCGGGUGACUGAGAAACUGAAGGCGAAGGGGCCUUUGAAAGGAGCGGAGGUCCACCGCGGAUCCCGAGACUGUGUGGUCUCAGGAAGUGACCUGCCCCGGGGGUGCUGUGUGCUCAGUCUCAUCUCCACUGAGGCAGGAGGAGAUCGGAUCCCCUGGCCGCCACGUGCCCCAAGCCACCCAUGGCCGAAAUCCCCUAGCGCAGCCACUGGGUUGUCGGACGUGAAGGGCUCGCCUACGAAAGGGAGCGACCUAUUUUGUGGCGGCCGUUUCUCAGAAAUUAAGGAGACUUGGUUUUGUUUUGUUAAGUGAUGUGAGGUUUUGGGAUUCUGUGGAAUUGGGUUGUGGCUUCUCAACACGAUGCGAGCAAAGUAGAUACUUCAUUUUCUCUGAGACAAAUAGGUGAUUCGAAGUAAAGACAUUUCUUGAAGUUUU
rnacentral:lncRNA from 1 species